rnacentral:lncRNA from 1 species
GUAUGCCAUCUCCAUGGCCUCCGCAACGGAAUGGUCCACUGAAACAGGCGUCAAUCAAGACGUGCCAUAAAAAAAAAAGAUUUUUGCAACUGUUCGACUAAAAAAUUCUCAGUCCACCAACAGCCUAUCGACCAGUCGACUAAAUGGGGUCAGCCCUAGUACGCACACACAAACACACACAAGUGUGUCCUUUUCUGUCUCUAGGUCCACCAACAGAACUCGCUCCCCCACCAGAGGACAUCAGGCCAGUGGCAGAACCCAAUGAGAGGUCUAAUCAGCAACACUGGUACGUAACAGUCAUUCAUCUGUUUUACUUAGGGUCUCGGCUAAGUCAGAUGCAUGUUAGGUUAUGACAUCCAGUUGAUCAACUGUCUUAUGCGCCGACCCUCUAUGCAAUCAGGUUCGCAGACGCACAGCGGCCACACAGCAGUUCACCUGUCUAGUAUGCCCACCCCGCUGCGUCUGGGAGGCUGGACGGAGGAACAGGAGGAGGAGGAAGAGGAAGUCCUCAACAGGGGAUCGACUCCUAAACAGGACUCCAGGAGUAGUUGUUAAAGUGCCUUAAAUAAAGGGUGUUUACACUCCUUUCUCGAUGAACAGUGUGGCCUUAGAUGAUCCUUUUUGGAGAGUAUUAUGACAUCACGUAACACAACAAGGCAGUUGGGAGAGCUCAUUGGAUAACCAUUGUCUCAGUCUCCACCCCACUACCAUGCCUCUCCUAUCACAUCAGGAGUUGUUGUGGCAUCAGGGAAACUGACCUGUCUUCCAUCCCUAUCGCCAUGUCAUAAUUUUGUUAUAAAAUGUAUAAAUAUCGCUCAUAGAGGACUGGAGUCUAUAUGUGUGUGUGUUUGUGUGAGUGUGAAAGAGCGUUGUGUGUGUGUUUAGAACUCGGGGAAAGGGUGGCAUGCACAGCCAGGACACUUGCAGGGCAGGCUUGAGCAUGGUACAUAGCAACACCUGUCACACUUUUGUUGCGUUUCUUCAUGUGUUUAUUUUAUUAACGUUUUAUUUGUGCAUCUGGGAGGUUUACAAUGUGGGUCUGGGUUCACUUUCUCAUGGUGGAAAUGGUGUCUUAUCUGGUGCUGAAGAGAGUAUGGAGUGAAGGUCUAUCAUACUAGCUGCCUGACCAUUUUCACUAUAUGAGGAAAGUUGAGUACAAAAUUAUACAUUGGCGUAUUUGGCCAUUACUUAUUAUUGCUUGACAUUUGUAAAUACACUUUAGCGUCUUACCUCUAUAUGUUCUGGCAGUUUUAAUGAUUGGGAAAGAUGCGAAGUAAUGCAGUGACAUGAAGUAGGCUGCAACUAUACUACUUAGGUCACCAUUAGGACCCAACAAGAAAAUCUGACAAAAGCCUCCAGAUGGACUAGAUUCAUUAACCACGUUUCUAAACUGGACAUAAUCUCAUUGAAAGCUGCUGUCUAUGACUUUAAUGGGCUUAAUACCAUGUUUUCUUCAGUAUUAAGUUAUUUAUCUUCUUUUUAAAGUCCUUGGGGACCCUUAAAACAGUAUUUAACAGGUAAUAACUUGAUUAUUCUGUAUCAAAGGAUCACCAAUGUUCUGUCUCCACUGGCAACAGAGAUGUGUUACUUGACAAAUGCACGAAGAUCAAGAUGACAUAUUUGCCCAGGCAGUAACUACAUUGUUGUGGGUAGCUAUGAGAAUAGGCAAUGCAGAGUCGCAUAUCAUGUACAGUAAAUCAUUAAGUGUUGUUGAUUUUGCAUGUACUGCUCAACAUUUUGUUCACGGAACACUUCCCCCCCAAUGUACACAGAAGAAGUGAACUUUUUAUUAUACGGGCUGUUCCUAAAAUUGUCAUUACAGCAGUUGGAGUUUGUGGUUUUACUUUAUUUGUAAGUUAAUCCUAUGUCAGUAUUUUACUUUUCUCAGAGAACAGCCUAAGAUGUCAUUUUAAAUAAGAUAAUUCUCCCUUUGUUGUCCCAAAUAUUUAAACUGUCCAGAUUUCUGAGAUAUGACCUAUAAUGAAUUAUUUAAUUAAUUACAAUAUGAGUGAAAUAGUAAUUAUGUUAAGAAGCAGCUUUUCUUUGUUGGUGGUAUGGGUGAACCCCAACAACAGAAUGUUUUGGGUGUAUACCGGUCAUGCAAAUAGAGAGCUGAUUGGCCAGCUCAGCCAAUGAGCCAACGCGAUAUCGUAUUAUAUGACAAAAUUGCAAGCAUUUUUUUAAUAGUCUGGUUGAGAUACAAGUUUGAUGUGGGUUUUUUGAAGUCCUUUUUUUUUCUCUUCAAUUUAUGUUUUGUACACAAAUACAAGUAUAGGACGAGUCAGCAACAUUAUUUGAGUACGAGUUAACAGAAUGUCAACUUUUUAAAAGUGAGAUUUUCACUGGAUUUUAAGUUAUGAAUAUCUUUAGUAUUAAAUAUUUAAUUGAGCAUUUAUUGGUUUCCUUAAGAAUUCAUCUUUAUAGUAAAUACAUUCAUACCAAAUAUGAUUGGGAUCUAAUUUUAAUAAUAUAUUUUUUGAAAUUCUUAAAUUGCCCCAUGUAAAACAAAUGUAUUUUCCUGGAUGUAUUUCUCAUGCAACAUUGAACAAAACAGAUUUUCUGAACUUUUUUUUUUUUAAUGAGUUUUUUUGUUGGUGUUGCCUUUGACACAACAUUUUUGGAUAUGCGGCUUCGAAAUUAAACAAUCCUUCAUGUGUGCUUUAGCACCACUUAGUGGUUUCAUCAGUACAGUACAACUCAAAGGAAAGCAAACGUGUUUGCGUGUAAAUGCUGAAUGUAACCCACCCAUCACCCCUAGAAAUGUAUCCUUGUUACUGUAGCCAGAACUGCUUAUUGAAACAUUACACAAAAGCUCCGUCACUGCUAUCCAUGUCCGGAUGAUCCAGUAACCUAGAGCACAUCUAUAUGUAUUUCUCUGUAUCCACCACUACUAUAAGACUUUAGAGAGCACAGGUGUUUGACGACUCUUUUCUUCAUUUUGUUUUCUAUAUGUGUGUUUUGAAGGGGUGUGAGUGUAGUCAUCAGUCUAACUAUGCUAAGCUAACAUUGACUCAAACGUUUUUGCACUGACUGAAAAUAAAAUGUCUAUUGAUCGAUACCUGCAUUAAACUACAUUUUAGAUAGAUACUAUAGAGCCGGGGUCUCAAAGGGAUAGUGAGUGGAACUCCCAUCCUGAGUGGCCUCUCUCACAGUAUGUAUAAUGUGCGUAUAGCAUCACCAUGCAUAGUAUUGUUAUCAUUCACAGUAUUGUUAUCAUUCACACUGUGGGCCUAUCGCAGACCUGGUUGUUGUUACCUCUGGUCAGUAAAAGUUCAGCCAGUAGGGGAAAUGUCUGUAAGUGUUUUUAGUAACAUUUUAGGCCUAGUCAAUGCUACAAUUGGUAUGGCUGUUGGUGUUCCAUUUGUCAUUACUGAUGUAUUGCGUUUUAGUUGUGGAGACAUGAUAGGUCAUGUGUCUUGCCUGUUUCCAUAGCUAGAUCUCAGUGCCUCACAUCUCUUUGUUUAUUAUUUAGCUUUAUUUUGAGCAGUGCCUUAGGGUUAGCAUUAGUUCCUUAUUAGAAACCAUUGUAUGUAAACCAUCAGAUCUAAUUUUACUUCGUAUUUUAGCAGCACAUAAUGUACAGUAUUUAUUUUGGCAGGUUGGUCAUAUUUUGGCAUCAAAUAUACAGUGGGAAUUGUAUUCUAAUAUUGUGGAUGAGGCUUGUGUAACAUGAACUACAACAUACUGAUAUUUGACAUCAAAGUAGUCAUCACCUUCACCUGAUAAGAGAAAUAAUCUCCUCAAAGUUUUUGUUUUGCACUGUCUGCCUUCCCGAUCCAAAAGAAGCUGUUGGGGAGAGGAAUAUUUUAUACCCUUUUCAAUUAAGUUGAAUGAUUAUUUUAUCAUAUCCUUGAGUCUCCCCACUCAAUAUCAUUGCUUCUUAUCCACUACAAACCAGUAAAAAAAAUAUAUAUAUUUUGACUGGUACAAGGUGCUACGUUUUUGUAUUCUAGUGUUGAAUAGUUUGAAGCAUCUUGUUUUCUUUGUUAAUUAGGUUUUUUCUUUUUGUUUGUUUUGUUAAUUUAAGGAACACUAGCUGAGAAGAAACCAUGCCAAAAUGACUUGUUUUCAACACAGCUUUAUCAUACACAUUUUAUUUGUUUUCUGUAACUGAAUAGAGGCAAAGGAAUUCUUAUUUCCUGUGUAUUUAAUCAUUGAAGUGUGUUCCAAGAUUUAAUGUACUUUGAAAUAAAAAAAUGUAAUAUACGUUCUAUUCUAUGCAUUUAUUGAGUUGGAAAUGUUUUCAUUGGCACAAACUUUCCAAAUGUAAUUCCUAAACUGCCACUAAACAUGAAAUAAAUACACAAUUCACAG